UAGGGAAUCUUCCACAAUGGACGCAAGUCUGAUGGAGCAACGCCGCGUGAGUGAAGAAGGUUUUCGGAUCGUAAAGCUCUGUUGUUGGUGAAGAAGGAUAGAGGCAGUAACUGGUCUUUAUUUGACGGUAAUCAACCAGAAAGUCACGGCUAACUACGUGCCAGCAGCCGCGGUAAUACGUAGGUGGCAAGCGUUGUCCGGAUUUAUUGGGCGUAAAGCGAGCGCAGGCGGAAUGAUAAGUCUGAUGUGAAAGCCCACGGCUCAACCGUGGAACUGCAUCGGAAACUGUCAUUCUUGAGUGCAGAAGAGGGGAGUGGAAUUCCAUGUGUAGCGGUGGAAUGCGUAGAUAUAUGGAAGAACACCAGUGGCGAAGGCGGCUCUCUGGUCUGCAACUGACGCUGAGGCUCCAAAGCAUGGGUAGCGAACAGG
rnacentral:rRNA from 1 species